CCCAGGCUGACAGGCAAUGGCGGGAUCAUGGCUCAGUGCAGUCUCGAUCUCCUGGGCUCAAGUGGUCCUCCCACCUCAGCCUCCCAAGAAGUUGGGACCACAGGAGAGGGCCACCAUACCCAGCUAAUUUUUUUGAUGUUUUGUAGAUAUGGGGUCUCCCUAUGUUGCCCAGGUUGGUCUCUAACUCCUGAGCUCAAGUGUUCUGCCCACUUCAGCCUCCCAAAGUGCUAGGGUAAAAGGCCUGAGUCACCACUGCCAGCCAAUUGCUGAAGUUUUUGGAAAAGAAAAUUCUUGUCUGAUCCAUGGGAGUUGCUUCAAAGGCCACAGGAUUCUGCUGCAAAUUCUAACAGGAGGAGGCAAUGGCAGCCCUUACUAAAACCUCAGAACUACAGGAAGAGGAUCCCUGAGUGGGAUUCCUGUGUGAAAGGCAUUUUCGCCUUUUUGUGUAUCUUCAGAAUCUUAACUUUCAUGAGAGAAGAAUAGAAAUGCAACAAUGGAACAAUCCACUGUAUACACAUAGCUGGUGAUUUAAUAAACUUGAAGGAAAUGCUACAG
rnacentral:lncRNA from 1 species